rnacentral:misc_RNA from 1 species
CCAAUAGCGUAUAUUAAAGUUGUUGCAGUUAAAAAGCUCGUAGUUGAAUUUCGGGAUCAGUACGUUGGUCAUGCCUUGGUAUGUACUGGUGUAACUGAUUCCUCCCUUCUGACGAACCGUCAUGCCAUUCACUUGGUGUGGCGGGAAAUCAGGACUGUUACUUUGAAAAAAUUAGAGUGUUUAAAGCAGGCUCGCGCUUGAAUACAUUAGCAUGGAAUAAUGAAAAAGGACGUUAAUCCUAUUUUGUUGGUUUCUAGGAUUGAAGUAAUGAUUAAUAGGGAUAGUUGGGGGCAUUAGUAUUCAAUUGUCAGAGGUGAAAUUCUUGGAUUUAUUGAAGACUAACUACUGCGAAAGCAUUUGCCAAGGAUGUUUUCAUUAAUCAAGAACGAAAGUUAGGGGAUCGAAGACGAUCAGAUACCGUCGUAGUCUUAACCAUAAACUAUGCCGACUAGGGAUCGGAUGAUGUUAAUUUUUUAAUGACUCAUUCGGCGCCUUACG